UUUUUUUUAUUUAACAACUAUGCGUGGGCCGAGCGGUCGAGAUAAACGUCAUCACGUUUUGUGCAGGGUGGCUUCUGGGACAACUCAUAUAUGGAAGUUCAACUUCCGUCACGUUUGUCUGGUUUUUAUAUACAGUCUAUAGUUUGUCUGCGGGCUGCAGCUGGACCCUGGAGUCGCGUCAUCUUCGUUCACUCCAAUGGACCAGUUUUUCACAGCAAUGGCGGAUCAUGGAGCGUCUGAAUAGUUCCCGGAAGUUAGCAUCAAAUGCUAGCAGCGCAGCGGAGCUGCAAUAGAAAAUGCUAUCUGGGAUGCACGUUUGAAAGCACAAGAAUCCACUGAACCCCCAGUGGAGCCUGAAGAUGAUCUGCAUUGAUGUUUUUAAUAAACCAAACAUAAAGCCA